rnacentral:tRNA from 7 species
GCUAUCUAGUUUAGUUGGUGGAGCACAAGGUUUUAAACCAUGAGGUUGGGGGUUCAAGCCCUACAACUCGCC